rnacentral:rRNA from 1 species
GAUCAUGGCUCAGGACGAACGCUGGCGGCGUGCCUAAUACAUGCAAGUAGAACGCUGAAGAGAGGAGCUUGCUCUUCUUGGAUGAGUUGCGAACGGGUGAGUAACGCGUAGGUAACCUGCCUUGUAGCGGGGGAUAACUAUUGGAAACGAUAGCUAAUACCGCAUAACAAUGGGAUCGACCCAUGUCUAUUUUAUUUAGGAAAGGGGACAAAUGCUCCACUACAAGAUCGGACCUGCGUU